rnacentral:rRNA from 1 species
UACGGGGGGGGCAAGCGUUGUUCGGAAUUACUGGGCGUAAAGGGCUCGUAGGCGGCCAACUAAGUCCGACGUGAAAUCCCUCGGCUUAACCGGGGAACUGCGUCUGAUACUGGAUGGCUUGAGGUUGGGAGAGGGAUGCGGAAUUCCUGGUGUAGCGGUGAAAUGCGCAGAUAUCAGGAGGAACACCAAUGGCGAAGGCAGCUCGCUGGGACGGUAUUGACGCUGAGACGCGAAAGCGUGGGGAGCAAACAGG